GCCGUGAGCCAUAGAGCUGACAUUGUUCUGCUUCUUGGUUUUGGCAGGAUGCUGACGUUCAAAGCCGUUGCUCAGGUUUUAAUUCUGGGCUCUUCUUGGGACCUUGGCUUCUUUCUGGUGGAAGGAGUGCUGGACCCUGUCAGGUUGGUGAUGACCUUCACCUCAUCAGCAUCCUCCAGGGCGUCCAUGUCUACUUGGUCCACUGCCUUCUGAAUCACAAGGUAACACUACCUGCUGCUGCUAAAGUUGUAGUCUCUCCCUGUCUGCCAGAGAUUACUCUCACUGCUCUCUUCAGAAGCAGACAAAGGGAGCUGACCACGGAAUGGGGCAGUGAGGGUGAGGAAUACAGAAUACUCGUGUCUGUGGGCCACCCAGUGACUCCUGAGUGGACUUCUUGAUGGUUUCCACAACACAGUGAGUAGGAGCUGUGUCCCCCUCACGUAUUCUGAGAUUCCUUUCUGCCAUUCUUUCAAGCUCUUCCCACCCCCCUACACCCUACCCCAAUCCUGGAACUCAAUGGGGCACUUGUAGAAAUCUGGACUUCCAUGAAGGCUCUCUCAUACAUGGGUGAUUGUCUAAGUCCGUGUUUUCCAAGGUCUCCUGGACUAUGGCUAAAAGGGACUGCAGCAAGUUAAUGGGCCACUGCAAGGACCACAGCUGGGACCACGGUGUGUCUGUCUGUUACCUGAUGCAAAGGUGAGUGAGACGCUGCACAGAUCCCCUGACAUAUGGUGCUGGACCCCCCCCCCCCAGCUCCUACAAGCUACUUUUGUUAAUGAAUGGAUGCUGGAUUUGUGUUGGGGGAGGGGGCUGGGGUGCAGGAAGAGGAGAAAAAACAAGGGUCUUAUGCCACCAUGAUGCUGACAUAUAGCAGUUUAUUUCUUUUUAUUAAAAAAAAUUUUUUUUAAUGUUUAUUUUCACGACAGACACAGAGCGUGAGCAGGGGAGGGGCAGAGAGAGAAGAAGACACAGAAUCCAAAGAAGGUUCCAGUCUCUGAGCUGUCAGCACAGAGCCCGAUGUGGGGCUCAAACUCACGGACCACGAGAUCACAACCUGAGCUGAAGUCAGACGCUCAACUGACUGAGCCACGCAGGCGCCCCUGGUUAGUACAGACAUUUUAACAAGAUUUUUUCUUCCAAUCUAUGAACAUGGAGUGUUUUUCCAUUUCUUUGUGUCCUCUUCAAUUUCUUUUAUUUUGUUAAUGUUUAUUUUUGACAGAGCAUGAGUGGGGGCGGGGCAGAGAGACAGGGAGACACAGAAUCCAACGUGGGCUCCAGACUCUGAGCUGUCAGCACAGAGCCCAACGUGGGGCUCAAACUCAUAAACUGUGAGAUCAUGACCUGAGCCGAAGUCGGUCGCUCAACCGACUGAGCCACCCAGACGCCCCAUACAGCAGU
rnacentral:lncRNA from 1 species